rnacentral:lncRNA from 13 species
GUAGCCUGUGAGUCCUCCAAAAUCAUAAGGACAUCGUUGACAGACAUCCAAUUCUUUCAUAAUUUCGUAAGCUUUUUCCUUGGAACUCGCCGUUGCCUGGCUAACUCUUGAUAUAAAAAUUAGCAAUGUUUACCUCGGGUGUAUUUUGGGAUACUUAACCCCAUAUAUGUCAAAUGCGGUCGUAAACGGCCGGAUUGGUCGUAAGCUGUGUUACGUUAAUCAUGGACUGAUGAUUAUUAAGAAAGGUGGUGAUUUCUCAGUUUGGAAAAUUUCCCCAUGGACAGAAUCAAACCAAAUAUGUGAUAUAGCAACGGACCUUAAAAAGUAAAUUAAUAAAUAAAAUAUCAAGAUCAAAACAUUAUCCAAUCAUUAUUUUAUUAUUUGGAUCAGCAGAUAUUCUCUGGC